rnacentral:lncRNA from 1 species
UGGCGUGAUGGACGUCACACGUGUGAGUCAGACAGCAGGUGUUCAAUUGGGUCAACUCUAAGAUGUCUAUGACAAAUGGUUACUAUGCGAAUCACAAUAUUCGAAUAAUAUGCAAAAGAAGAGUAGAUGUGAGAGAGUAAAAUAUUGUAACGAGUUAUCGCCGAUGGGUUCGGUGAAUCAAUAUCGGUGUAUUCAAUCUCUUCAACACUCAAACACUACACAAAGUAAACAUAACGGUUCUAUCUAACUACUGGCCACGAAGGUCUACACUACAGUCCCAUUUAUAGUCUUACAGGCGUGGGAAAGGGUCAGUCGGCGAAUCCGAUGCAUCAGCAAUCGGAUGACACUCGAAUGACACUUCCGUCGGUCGUUUGUCUAUCCGUUACAGUUAUAACGGAUGGCGAGAGUUCUCUUACAAGGAUGCGUGAACGCUACAUCCCCUCUUCAGCCUGCGACUCGUCCCGAUCGCACUAUGACGACGAAGAACAAGGAGAAAAAUAAACAUAAACCCCAAAACAUAAGAGACACGAGCAAUUUUCGGUAAAAAAAAAAAAAUUUGUGCAAAGAAACAAUUUUUUAGCCAAAAGUUAAUGAAAACAAAUGAAUGCAAAAUUCAAUGUAAACAAAUGUCACAACAAAUGCUAGAAGGGUUACUGGUCGAACCAAUGGACAUAAAUGCAAAAAAAAAAAAAAAAAAAAAUUGUUUGUUGUAAUGGUGUGUUGAUUUUACUGAGGAACAACAAGCUUAGCCAAGAUGAGAGCAUUAGCAGCAGCAACUACAGGGAUAUGUGCUUGCAUGUUAGCAGGAUUCAUGUUCUGGCAAUCCAAUCAUCGUAUGCCGUCAUGAGACCAUCGACUGUGUUGGCCCACUUUCCAUACACCGCACGAUUCCCAAAUGAGGCAACAUUCUGGAUAGAAGUAUUCCCCAUGAACCUCACUUGGAUAUCAUAGGACAAUUGCGUCAAUCUACGAAACUGAGUUGAUCGGAUGGCAUUCUUCUCUGCCAUGGUUCCGAAGCCUCCCCAAGGGUUUAGGGUGUUAUUGGGACCAGUCAAAUGUUGAAUGACACCCAUAAACGCCGCACAUUCAAGAGGCCACAUCACGUGUACGUAACCCCAAUUGAACUCCCCGCAAUCUUUGGUGGCUUGCACGAUCAUCAUAAUCGCUGUCAUUCCAUGGAAUCUUGCUUGGGCAACCAUAUUCUUUAAUCCCAGGACCUGUAUAGCUCCUUGAUUGGCCAUAUGUUCAAACAAAUUGGCAAAUGCUGCGCGAUCCAUCCCCACAGUCAUUUUCCCGAACAUGGUCGACAGAACUCCUACGUCAGUAGGCCAUUGACAUUCCAUAUUAGUAAGGCCACACUGGGUGACAAAUUUGGCAAACUUGCGUGCAUUGGAUGUACCCGCGAAAAGAAGGGUGUACCAGAUGUACACAAUUCCUCCCUUCAUCCAGUCCACGUACCGAGCAGGAGCCCUUCUAACCCCACCUCCCACAGCCACUCGGAUGAAGAUUGCGACCUGUUCAGCGGUUAAAGUAGCACCCCACGUGGGCCAAUCGGCAGCAUCAGCAGGAGGAGCUGCCAUCACAUGUAGUUGACCCCCUAUCGUUCUAUCAAUAUUGGGAAGAGCAUGACAUGCUGUGUAUAAUGUGCGUAGCUCAUCUACAAAGAUGGCACUGACAGCACGACCACCGCGUGACGCUUCGCCGCUCAGGAGCGAUCUUAACAUCUCACUCAUAUGAAGACGAGCAUCUGCCUGAUCUAGAUACAUGUUCUCAUGUUGAAAAACUCCGCAGCACUCCUGAUAAUAGCGAUAAGCCAGCUCAUAUCCCUGUCAUGUUGAAUAAUAUUACUGCGGCGGGGAAGCUACAGUAGGGAAACGAAAGGGAAAGUGAAAAACUUAGCGUAUGUUGGAGUGUGUAAGAACGGAAUAUUUGUGUGUGUAAGAAUGGAAUAUUUGUGUGUGUAAGAAUGGAAUAUUUGUGUGUGUAAGAAUGGAAUGCGCUAGCGGUGGCGCUGUUUUAUGUGUAGUGUAUAUGGGAAAAAGUCUUUGCAGUGAUAGCAAAGCUAUAGAAAAGCAUAGAAGGGAAGUGAUAUAUAGUGGGACUUAGAAAAAUUUCAACUGUUUCGUUCGUGUACGGAUCUCUAAGAGGAGUGGGAGUUGUUGAACUGAAUUGGAAUACAUUACUAUCAAGACACGACAUUGCUUUAUGGUAUCCCAACGUAUGGAAAGUAUGUAAGAAGUUCAAUCGUCUAAAGAGGGUACAACAAAAAAGAAAAUCACGACGGCGACGUCAUUGUGGAGGCCGACGGGUGGUGGCUUGCGGCAACCCGUCUUCUUGUAGAGCUGCUCGGCGCAAUCGUCGGAUAAUCAGGUCGAAUCUUCUAUGUCGCCAAUGCAGGAACUCCCGAGAAUUGGUGCUGGGAGCCGGUGAGUCGCGGUCGCUGUCUGAAUGAUGUUGAGGUUCGCUCGUCGGUGUGGCGGAAGCUUGUGCUGGCAUCCCAGCUCUUGCCCCGGGGACGGUAAUCAGCAAGAUGUCUCCUCCUCUUCCGUCCGGAACAAGAGUAACCAAACGGUUGGCGUUUGUGUGGCUGGUCAUCUUCUUGAGAUUUUAUUUUUUUUUUCCGUUUACUUUCGGGUGUAAAGACGAGCGUGCUGUCUGUCUGAACGCUGGUUGUCGAGUUGCCGAGCAACGUGUUGUGUUGUCAAUAGCAGCUUCGGUAAGCGGCUGAAUUUCAUUUAUAUUAUUUCUCUGCGUAAGCGAAAUGCUUUUGCAGGGUUGGUGGAAGUCGGUGAGUGUGUUAAAGAGCGUCGUGUUUCGUCGGCGAAAACUUUGCCGUCCCCCCAAGUGUCGUAUUCUUUCGACGCAUCGGAUAGAGAAAGAAGAUGGAAGGAAGAUAUGUGAAAGAAGAAUAUAGAAGAAAUGGGGCGUAUGGGAGCUACCACGGAGAAGAAUAAGACCAAUUUGUAAACCUAAACUGUAUAUAGUUAUGCUUUAAAAUCGAACAAAUUCUACAUGUACCGAAAAACUUGUAUGCUGUAAUACAGAUUGCUUUUGUUCUCCCUUUUA